GAGGGGUGAGGAGAAUAAGGGGAAUGGUUGUCCAUGUUGCUGCUGCUUCCUGUGUCUCAGUGACCCUGUGCCUUCUGCUUACAGCUCUAGCAGCUCAUUCUCAGGUUCAUCGGAUCCUGGUGCCCUUUGAUCAGCCUUCAGAAAUCAGCAGGAGUCAGCUCCAACCUGCCAGGAAAACCAACAUCUUAGAGAAAAGAACCUCCAGUGUUUUCCAAAGCAGCAGUGAUGUGAAGGGGAAAGCAAAGCCACCAGCUGAGGCACAAUGUUAACUCACAAUCUCCAUUACCUCCCCUCCAGCCCGUUUUAGAUCUUAACACCACACAAUAACAACCAGUCCCUCAUUCCCUCAACACAAGGUUGUUUGGCUUUCUCAAGCAGGACUAACACAAGCCCUAAUCACCAGCACAGUCCCUGCAAUCUCCUCCAAAGCCGCUGUAAAUCAGUCACUCCAAUACCAGCAUUCACAGGUUACAUUCUUUACGACCUCAAAUUUAAAGUGCAGAUCACACUUGAGAUAUUAACCACAGCCUCAGAGAUGCUCCUCAGGGAUACCAAACAAACAGUCUUUUUUUAGGUUAGGAAAAACUGAGCAAGAAAAGUAACUGGCAGGGAGCUCCGAGGACAUUCAGCAGCCCUUAGUCACCACCACACUCAUACACAGCGUGUUUGAUAGCGAGAGAUGAGAAGAUAAAGAAGCUUCCUGUAAAAUUCAAUAGUUUAGAAGCAUUCACAAACAAAACCUGUUUUCCUCCUAGAGAGGACUCACACUAACAUGAAUCUUUUGACUUGGAUGCCCUGUGUUUGACUCUCUCCCCGCAGGAGAACCUGGGCUAAGAAAAGGUAUUUCCUGUCCUCUUUGACCAAGGGAUUUAAAGGGACACCUCUGGUCUUUCCACUGCUUUGACUACUCCCUGAUUUCAGAAAAGGAGGGGGAAUAAACCCCAGGGAGUUCUGCUGCUUCCUCAUCAUUCUGCCCAACUAACAAUCAGCACUUUCAGGGUAAUGCUUUCACCACACUGCAGGAAGAAAAUACCUCAGGAAUCAGCUACAUACAUACAAAACCUAUGCAAGAACACACAGAGCCAUGAGCAGCC
rnacentral:lncRNA from 1 species